rnacentral:tRNA from 1 species
GUUCUUAUAGUUUAAUUAGAACGUAGCAUUGAAGAUGCUAAGGUGAUGUUUCUGAGAAUA